rnacentral:rRNA from 1 species
AACGAACGCUGGCGGCAUGCCUAACACAUGCAAGUCGAACGAAGUCUUCGGACUUAGUGGCGCACGGGUGCGUAACGCGUGGGAAUCUGCCCUUGGGUUCGGAGUAACAGUUAGAAAUGACUGCUAAUACCGGAUGAUGUCUUCGGACCAAAGAUUUAUCGCCCAGGGAUGAGCCCGCGUAGGAUUAGGUAGUUGGUGGGGUAAUGGCCCACCAAGCCGACGAUCCUUAGCUGGUCUGAGAGGAUGAUCAGCCACACUGGGACUGAGACACGGCCCAGACUCCUACGGGAGGCAGCAGUGGGGAAUAUUGGACAAUGGGCGAAAGCCUGAUCCAGCAAUGCCGCGUGAGUGAUGAAGGUCUUAGGGUUGUAAAGCUCUUUUACCAGGGAUGAUAAUGACAGUACCUGGAGAAUAAGCUCCGGCUAACUCCGUG